rnacentral:rRNA from 1 species
GAUGAACGCUGACAGAAUGCUUAACACAUGCAAGUCAACUGUGGCGGACGGGUGAGUGACGCGUAAAGAACUUGCCUCACAGCUAGGGACACCAUUUGGAAACGAAUGCUAAUACCUGAUACUGUGAGAGAGCUUUGCGUCCCAUUAGCUAGUGGGAGAGGUAACGGCUCACAAAGGCGAUGAUGGGUAGCCGGCCUGAGAGGGUGAUCGGCCACAAGGGGACUGGGGCACGGCCAGUACUGCUACGUGAGGCAGCAGUGGGGAAUAUUGGACAAUGGACCAAAGUCUGAUCCAGCAAUUCUGGGUGCAUGAUGAAGUUUUCGGAAUGUAAAGUGCUUUCAGUUGGGAAGCGGUACCAACAGAAGAAGUGACGGCUAAAUACGUGCCAGCAGCCGCGGUAAUAC